CCUACGGGCGGCAGCAGUGGGGAAUAUUGCACAAUGGGGGAAACCCUGAUGCAGCGACGCCGCGUGAGUGAAGAAGUAUUUCGGUAUGUAAAGCUCUAUCAGCAGGGAAGAAAAUGACGGUACCUGAUUAAGAAGCCCCGGCUAACUACGUGCCAGCAGCCGCGGUAAUACGUAGGGGGCCAGCGUUAUCAGGAUUUACUGGGUGGAAAGGGAGCGUAGACGGCAGCACCAGUCUGGAGUGAAAUGCCGGGGCUUAACCCCGGAACUGCUUUGGAAACUGUGCAGCUAGAGUGCAGGAGAGGUAAGUGGAAUUCGUAGUGUAGCGGUGAAAUGCGUAGAUAUUAGGAGGAACACCAGUGGCGAAGGCGGCUUACUGGACUGUAACUGACGUUGAGGCUCGAAAGCGUGGGGAGCAAACAGGAUUAGAUACCCUGGUAGUC
rnacentral:rRNA from 1 species